rnacentral:rRNA from 1 species
UACGAAGGGUGCAAGCGUUACUCGGAAUUACUGGGCGUAAAGCGUGCGUAGGUGGUCUGUUAAGUCUGAUGUGAAAGCCCUGGGCUCAACCUGGGAAUUGCAUUGGAUACUGGCAGGCUAGAGUGCGGUAGAGGAUGGCGGAAUUCCCGGUGUAGCAGUGAAAUGCGUAGAGAUCGGGAGGAACAUCUGUGGCGAAGGCGGCCAUCUGGACCAGCACUGACACUGAGGCACGAAAGCGUGGGGAGCAAACAGG